UCCCACCAGGUACAGAAGUAGUUAAUUCCCACCAGGUACAGAAGUAGUUAAUUCCCACCAGGUACAGAAGUAGUUAAUUCCCACCAGGUACAGAAGUAGUUAAUUCCCACCAGGUACAGAAGUAGUUAAUUCCCACCAGGUACAGAAGUAGUUAAUUCCCACCAGGUACAGAAGUAGUUAAUUCCCACCAGGUACAGAAGUAGUUAAUUCCCACCAGGUACAGAAGUAGUUAAUUCCCACCAGGUACAGAAGUAGUUAAUUCCCACCAGGUACAGAAGUAGUUAAUUCCCACCAGGUACAGAAGUAGUUCAUUCCCACCAGGUACAGAAGUAGUUCAUUCCCACCAGGUACAGAAGUAGUUCAUUCCCACCAGGUACAGAAGUAGUUAAUUCCCACCAGGUACAGAAGUAGUUAAUUCCCACCAGGUACAGAAGUAGUUAAUUCCCACCAGGUACAGAA